GUAAGGAAUAUUGGUCAAUGGAGGCAACUCUGAACCAGCCAUGCCGCGUGCAGGAAGACGGCCCUCUGGGUUGUAAACUGCUUUUAUCCGGGAAUAAACCUGCCUUCGUGAAGGUAGCUGAAUGUACCGGAAGAAUAAGGAUCGGCUAACUCCGUGCCAGCAGCCGCGGUAAUACGGAGGAUCCAAGCGUUAUCCGGAUUUAUUGGGUUUAAAGGGUGCGUAGGCGGCCUGUUAAGUCAGGGGUGAAAGACGGUGGCUCAACCAUCGCAGUGCCCUUGAGACUGAUGGGCUUGAAUGGACUAGAGGUAGGCGGAAUGUGACAAGUAGCGGUGAAAUGCAUAGAUAUGUCACAGAACACCGAUUGCGAAGGCAGCUUACUAUGGUCCUAUUGACGCUGAGGCACGAAAGCGUGGGGAUCGAACAGGAUUAGAAACCCCAGUAGUCC
rnacentral:rRNA from 1 species